rnacentral:rRNA from 1 species
UACGUAGGGGGCAAGCGUUGUCCGGAUUUAUUGGGCGUAAAGAGCGUGUAGGCGGCCAGGUAGGUCGGUUGUGAAAACUCGAGGCUCAACCUCGAGAUGUCGACCGAAACCAUCUGGCUAGAGUCCGGAAGAGGAGAAUGGAAUUCCCGGUGUAGCGGUGAAAUGCGCAGAUAUCGGGGAAGAACACCCGUGGCGAAGGCGGGUCUCUGGGCCGGAUACUGACGCUGAGGAGCGAAAGCGUGGGGAGCGAACAGG